GGAUGUGAGGGUGAUCUGGCUGUGACAUCUGUCACCCCAGUGAUUGCCAGGGUUGAUUUGGCUGAUCUGGCUGGCUAGGUGGGUGUUCCCUUCCUUUAUCUCCAUGUGCGUCCCUCCUGAAGCUUCAUGCUCGGCUAAAAGAAGAUGACCUCUCUUGGAGGACUGUUCUUCAGGCAAGGAUAAAAGAGUGGCUGUGCUCCCCUUCUAGAACCCCCAAACAAGCUCUCAAGGUCUAUUUGUAAGAGAACAUUGGGUAGUCAAACUUCUAGGACUCCAGACAGAUCCAAAUGAGGUACUGCAUGUGGCAGUCUGCCUUUCUUG
rnacentral:snRNA from 1 species